UGGGGAAUAUUGCACAAUGGGCGCAAGCCUGAUGCAGCCAUGCCGCGUGUGUGAAGAAGGCCUUCGGGUUGUAAAGCACUUUCAGCGAGGAGGAAGGUGGUGAACUUAAUACGUUCAUCAAUUGACGUUACUCGCAGAAGAAGCACCGGCUAACUCCGUGCCAGCAGCCGCGGUAAUACGGAGGGUGCAAGCGUUAAUCGGAAUUACUGGGCGUAAAGCGCACGCAGGCGGUUUGUUAAGUCAGAUGUGAAAUCCCCGGGCUCAACCUGGGAACUGCAUUUGAAACUGGCAAGCUAGAGUCUCGUAGAGGGGAGUAGAAUUCCAGGUGUAGCGGUGAAAUGCGUAGAGAUCUGGAGGAAUACCGGUGGCGAAGGCGGCCCCCUGGACGAAGACUGACGCUCAGGUGCGAAAGCGUGGGGCAGCAAACAGGAUUAGAUACCCUGGUAGUCCACGCUGUAAACGAUGUCGAUUUUGGAGGUUGUGCCCUUGAGGCGUGGNUUCCGGAGCUAACGCGUUAAAUCGACCGCCUGGGGAGUACGGCC
rnacentral:rRNA from 1 species